GACGAACGCUGGCGGCGUGCUUAACACAUGCAAGUCGAACGGAAAGGCCCUUCUUUUGUGGGGUGCUCGAUUGGCUAACGUGUGAGUAACACGUGAGUAUCCUGCCCUUUACUUUGUGCUAACUUCAGGAAACUCGGGCUAAUACCUGAUAGGAGCUCCUGCUGCAUUGUGUGGGUUGGAAAUUUUCGGGGGUUGUGGAUGUACUCGCUUCUUAUCAGCUUGUUUGUUGGGUAGUGGCUUACCAAGGCUUUGACUGUUAGCCGGCAUGAGAGGGUGACCGGCGAAAUUGGGACUGAGAUAAGGAGCAGAAUAGAAGGGGAGGGAACAGUGGGGAAUAUUGCACAAUAGGAGGAAGCAAGAUGCAGCAACGCAGCGUGCGGGAUGAGGGGCUUGGGGUAGUAAACAGGUGUCGAAUGUGACGAAGAGAGAGUGACGGUAAUGAGUAAAGAAGCACCGGCUAACUACGUG
rnacentral:rRNA from 1 species